UACGAAGGGUGCAAGCGUUACUCGGAAUUACUGGGCGUAAAGCGUGCGUAGGUGGUUCGUUAAGUCUGUCGUGAAAGCCCCGGGCUCAACCUGGGAAUGGCGAUGGAUACUGGCGGGCUAGAGUGCGGUAGAGGAGAGUGGAAUUCCCCGGUGUAGCAGUGGAAUGCGCAGAUAUCAGGAGGAACACCGGUGGCGAAGGCGGGUCUCUGGGCAGUAACUGACGCUGAGGAGCGAAAGCGUGGGGAGCGAACAGG
rnacentral:rRNA from 1 species